ACGAACGCUGGCGGCGUGGAUAAGACAUGCAAGUCGAACGGGAGAAUUGCUAGCUUGCUAAUAAUUCUCUAGUGGCGCACGGGUGAGAAACACGUGAGUAACCUGCCUCUUAGUGGGGGAUAGCCCUGGGAAACCGGGAUUAAUACCGCAUACGAUUGAAAGAUCAAAGCAGCAAUGCGCUAGGAGAUGGGCUCGCGGCCUAUUAGUUAGUUGGUGAGGUAACGGCUCACCAAGGCGAUGACGGGUAGCCGGUCUGAGAGGAUGUCCGGCCACACUGGAACUGAGACACGGUCCAGACACCUACGGGUGGCAGCAGUCGAGAAUCAUUCACAAUGGGGGCAACCCUGAUGGUGCGACGCCGCGUGGGGGAAUGAAGGUCUUCGGAUUGUAAACCCCUGUCAUGUGGGAGCAAAUUAAAAAGAUAGUACCACAAGAGGAAGAGACGGCUAACUCUGUGCCAGCAGCCGCGGUAAUACAGAGGUCUCAAGCGUUGUUCGGAAUCACUGGGCGUAAAGCGUGCGUAGGCUGUUUCGUAAGUCGUGUGUGAAAGGCAGGGGCUCAACCCCUGGAUUGCACAUGAUACUGCGAGACUAGAGUAAUGGAGGGGGAACCGGAAUUCUCGGUGUAGCAGUGAAAUGCGUAGAUAUCGAGAGGAACACUCGUGGCGAAGGCGGGUUCCUGGACAUUAACUGACGCUGAGGCACGAAGGCCAGGGGAGCGAAAGGGAUUAGAUACCCCUGUAGUCCUGGCAGUAAACGGUGCACGCUUGGUGUGCGGGGAAUCGACCCCCUGCGUGCCGGAGCUAACGCGUUAAGCGUGCCGCCUGGGGAGUACGGUCGCAAGAUUAAAACUCAAAGAAAUUGACGGGGACCCGCACAAGCGGUGGAGUAUGUGGCUUAAUUCGAUGCAACGCGAAGAACCUUACCUGGGCUUGACAUGUAAUGAACAACAUGUGAAAGCAUGCGACUCUUCGGAGGCGUUACACAGGUGCUGCAUGGCCGUCGUCAGCUCGUGUCGUGAGAUGUUUGGUUAAGUCCAGCAACGAGCGCAACCCCUGUUGCCAGUUACCAGCACGUCAAGGUGGGGACUCUGGCGAGACUGCCCAGAUCAACUGGGAGGAAGGUGGGGACGACGUCAGGUCAGUAUGGCCCUUAUGCCCAGGGCUGCACACGUACUACAAUGCCCAGUACAGAGGGGGCCGAAGCCGCGAGGCGGAGGAAAUCCUGAAAACUGGGCCCAGUUCGGACUGUAGGCUGCAACCCGCCUACACGAAGCCGGAAUCGCUAGUAAUGGCGCAUCAGCUACGGCGCCGUGAAUACGUUCCCGGGUCUUGUACACACCGCCCGUCACAUCAUGGAAGCCGGUCGCACCCGAAGUAUCUGAAGCCAACCGCAAGGAGGCAGGGUCCUAAGGUGAGACUGGUAACUGGGAUG
rnacentral:rRNA from 1 species